rnacentral:rRNA from 1 species
UACGUAGGGUGCAAGCGUUGUCCGGAAUCAUUGGGCGUAAAGCGCGCGUAGGCGGUCAGGUAAGUCCGGUGUGAAAGUCAAAGGCUCAACCUUUGAACGCCGCUGGAUACUGCCUGACUUGAGUCCGGAAGGGGCGAGUGGAAUUCCUGGUGUAGCGGUGAAAUGCGCAGAUAUCAGGAGGAGCACCAAUGGCGAAGGCAGCUCGCUGGAACGGUACUGACGCUGAGGCGCGAAAGCGUGGGGAGCGAACAGG